GGGGGAUUAGAGGCAGAGUUUGGAAACGCCAGUUGUGUGUCCUGCCGCCCUCUCUAGAUUCUCCUUCUUCCAGUAUUUGGUGGUCUUCGUUCCUUUAUUUAGUUACCCAUAGCCUCUUAAAAUUGUAUCCUGACAAAGACCACAUCAGCACAUUACCCCGCACUGAUCCACUAGAUGGCGCUGUCUCAAGCUGGCAGAACACACCAGCAGGUGUCUCGGAGCUCAUUAUGUGCUCACAGAACGUGAAGCGUGGUCCUUGUGGAGUAAAUCCACUCGAGAACGAGGCUCUGAGGCUUCUCGGCUGCCUUCCUGACUCCGUCCCGGGAUAAAGACGUCCAAAUCAUUUCUAAAUGUUUUUACUCUGACAUAAAGUAAGCCAUUUCUUGUUCUGUUCUCUGAGACAGA
rnacentral:lncRNA from 1 species